AUGUGGAAAACAGAAUGCUGCCUGUCACAGCAAAGGAGAGCCUGCGCUUUGUCGGAACAGGAUAAAUCAGGAGGGAGCUCUGCAAAAGGGAACCCUGUUGAACGUUCAUGCUGCUCUCAAAGCUUUACACAACAGAGGGACAUGGAGUUUUGUGAAGAAAAAGCUGGCUGCCAUGCUGCAAACUCCACCAGAAAGGCUUUGGACAAGCAACCACUGACUGAGAAAAGAACUCCAACAUUAACACCUUCUGUGUCAGCACUUCUGGAGAGAGGACAAAAAGACAAACAGACCUCUUCAGAUAUAAUGAAGAAAACAGGAAAAUCUGUGUCAAUGUCUGCUGUGAAAAAUUCUCCAGGAAAGUUUGGACUACAAGCGGACAACAGAAAAAAAGAGUGA
rnacentral:lncRNA from 1 species